AUGCCAGAAGAGGCAUAUUUCUUCCAUCUUCACAGCAGAAUGUCAAAGAACCACCGCGUUGACAGGAAUUCAUCCUUUGGGGAAAGGAAGCUCCUUGCUGACCAAAGGUUCUGGUCUGAAGUGAUCAGCAACCUGCCACCAUCACUAGAAGAAAAGAAACAGACAUUCAGGAGACAUUUUAGCACUGCCUUAUUGGGACUGCAGGUCUUGCUGAGUGUCUCUGGAGCUGACACAUUUCAAACCUUCGAGGGGAUUCUGGAAGUCUCCUGUUGGUGCCUACCAAACCUGGGCUGGAUGCUAGAAAACAAAGAUGGUAUUCUCCUCUUUCUUUCCCAACCAACACAGCAGGGUGAAACUUGCCAGUCAGUCCUCAGCCAGAACUACUUUAGUAUUCCCAAAGUUUUAACAUAAAUUAGUAGAAAAUCUGGAGAAAUCCCUAAACUGCUUCUACUUGUCCAUGUGUACGUGGGCAAGUACAUGUUGUACAAGUUGCGCUGUACAAGCUAAAUAGUCUCAUUUCUACUGCGUGAGUGCUGGGAUGACAAAAAGGAAGAAGGUAAAUCAGAUUAAAUCCUUAACAAAUUUGACUUAACCAAAAGAAAUAAAUUAAGUUCCUGAGCUACCAACUUAAGUUAGUAGCUUUUUAACCUAAACUUUUAACUUAAGUUAGUAGCUCAGAAUUUGACCCAGACUUCACUGAAAUCAAUGGGAAACUCCUGAUCAUGUUGUUAGAACCAUGAUUAAUCUCUUAUACAAUGGAUACACGUAUCUCUUGUUACUGGAAUAGAUUUAGGAAGAUCAGUGCUGAUUUCAGCUCUAUAUGAAAUUGAAACAUUCCCAGCAUCAAUGUUUGCAUGCAGAGCACUUUUUGUGUGUGUGUAGAUAUUAAGAAGAAAUCUUUGCUUAAAUUACUUGUUAAACUAUUCCUUUACACAGGUAACUCUUUGUUAGCAUUUAAUUAAAUGGCUACAGUCUCAUUGGCCCAUUCAUCACACCUACCCUCGUCAUGUCAGUGAAGUGCUAUAUCCCUCCCAUAGUCAGGAGGAGACAGCAGUCUCCAGAGCAUGUUUCAUCCCAGCUUAAGUUUGGUAAGGGAUGCUACAACUAGAAAAAGUCUCUCUCAAAACACUGAAUGAACUGGGAGAAAAAUCAAAACCAGAUGACUUUGCAUAGUACAUUUGGGACUGAAAAGCAGAUUUAAACAAAACAAACAAUCAACAAAAAAAAGUAAGUAUUGGUGCAUAUAUUUGAUGGUACCAACAUAGGAAGACACAAUAAAAGGAAAAAUAUACUGGUAAAACCAUUUACAAUGGUAUCUGGGAACAAACAAGACAUAAGCAAGAAAAACUGGGACAGAAAUAAAAAGAGAGGAAAAACUCAGAAAUGUAGGAAGAUGGAACAACAUAUGUAUUUGCAACAUUCCUGUCUCCCACCUCUGCAAAAAAAAAUUAGUCAUUUAUAUUCACUUUUCUGCUUAAAACUAGAUGAUUAUGUAGGCUAUGUUAGAGAUGUAGGUAAAUAUUGCUGGUGUAUCCAGUGGGUUAGCAUAAUCCUUCCAAGGAAAAAAAAACACAUGCCAAACAAAACUAAGGAUUAGCCAGCACUUUUUCUCAGAAAAUAUAUAGGAAAAAAAGAAGUUUGACAUUUACAGCUGUAUUGUAGAACCCUGUUCAAGUCCCUACUGUAGGUCCCUCUAUAAGUUUAUUCAGUGUCACCAGGGUUCUACAGACAGUGAAAUCAAGAGACAGGAGUCCUAAAUACAGGCACUAACCAAUAUUGAUUCACCUUUCCCUAAUGCACGGACAAAAACAUCAUCAAUAAGCUUGUCAACAGCCUGAAGCAAUGAGCAUUAUAAUACUCAACUAAGCCAAGAAUAACACAGCAUUCAUUUAUUUAUUUCAGUUGCAUGCAAUCCCCCAAGAUUUAAACAACAGGUGUUGAUUUAAAACAACAGGUGUUUUAGACGGCAGCUUCUUUUGUGGGUGUCAUGCCCUUGUUGUGUCUCAACCUGAUUCUGGCUUUAGACUUCGCUGAGCUGGCUUCACCGAACGUUCCAUCUACAUUCAUCUUCACUCUUCUGUUAUCUUUUCAGUCCCAAGAACUAGCAUUUCAAUGCUACUGUUUCUUUCUUUUACUAGGCUAUUAAAAGCAUAUUAAGCAAUUCUGAAAGGUUUUUGAUUUUUGCUGUAUUAAGGGUGCGAAGAAUGUGGAAAAGUAUUUCAAGAUAGAAACAAUUCUCUGAAGAGCAUUUCCCACUAUGUUCACUUCUCUCAUUAAAAUAAGUGAUUGCACAAGUAAGUGGAACACAGGUAUCCCCAAAAGGCUAUUGAUCUCUCCUUGGUGAAAACCAUACUUAAACAGAGACUAGCUAUUGUUUUGCACUAAAAUGGUGCAUAAAGGCAAGACAAGCAAAAAAGCCAAAAUUUCUGUAAUAGCUUGUUUCUAAAACUACAUUGAAAUCAAUACUAUGGCAUAAGUAUAAUCUUAUGAACCUUUCAAUGUAAUUGCUACUUGUUUAAUUUAUUAAAACAACUUAAAGUACUACUUUGGGAAGUUGACAGGCUUUGGGGAAGAGCUGAAAUGAUUCUUUUCUACAUUUUUUAUCUCAUUAUAGCUUUUGCUUUCAGUCUACAUAUUUAAACAACAUUAAUUUGGUUUCUAAGCAUG
rnacentral:lncRNA from 1 species